AAUAAGUUCAGUUUUCAGUUUCUAGAUCCAAUGUUUUGACUCUUCAUCUUAUUUUAAUUUCUUUUGUGAUUAAUAUUUUUAUUGUUACUAGAUAAUAAAACAUGAAUAGUACUUUAUGCAUGACUAUUUUUUUAAAGUUUUUGUACAAAUUUUUUCAAAUUAGACGAAUGGUCAAAUAUUGGACACAGAAAUCGAAAAAUAAAGUUAUU
rfam:Oryza brachyantha chromosome 9, whole genome shotgun sequence.